rnacentral:lncRNA from 1 species
GUUUUGCAUGUUUUAAUUGAUAAAAAUGUCAUUGUUUUCAAAAUAAACAAAUUUUUCACAAAAACAACUUUUAAAUAAAGUGAACAUUCACAAUGAUCAAAGGGUACUCAGGAAAAUCUCAGUGCUCUCCCAAGGGAGGUAUGAUUUUCAAUAGGGUAAGACAUUUGUUCAUAUCUCCAGCAUAACUGUAUCUUUUUCCUAUAGAACCUUUUAUGGUUUCUCCUCAGCGAGGUUGCUCAGUGUUGUGUUGGUUGAAGUUGUUCAGCUUCAUUU